rnacentral:lncRNA from 1 species
CCGGUGGAAAAGCACUUUUACACCCAAAAGUGCUUUUGGGUGAAAAGUAAUGAAGAAUAACCUUCAUUUGGGGUCAAUUUUUCAACUUCUUUAAAGUGCUUUUGCCAAGAUGAAGAAGCAGAAAUUUAUAGCUUUUCCAGCAGAAAAGUGCUUCUAAGCUGGUUUUUUACUUUUUUAGCCCCACCACACACACAAACUUUCUGUAUUUAUAAUAAUCUUUUAGGAACUGCUUUAUUUGUAUAACCAAGCGUGGGUAGCCUUUCUUUUACUGGCAAUUUAUUUAUUUCUAAAA